rnacentral:rRNA from 1 species
AUUGAACGCUGGCGGCAUGCUUUACACAUGCAAGUCGAACGGCAGCGCGGGCUUCGUCCUGGCGGCGAGUGGCGAACGGGUGAGUAAUGCAUCGGAACGUGCCCAGUAGUUGGGGAUAGCCCGGCGAAAGCCGGAUUAAUACCGCAUACGACCUGAUGGUGAAAGCGGGGGACCGAAAGGCCUCGCGCUAUUUGAGCGGCCGAUGUCGGAUUAGCUAGUUGGUGGGGUAAAGGCUUACCAAGGCGACGAUCCGUAGCUGGUCUGAGAGGACGACCAGCCACACUGGGACUGAGACACGGCCCAGACUCCUACGGGAGGCAGCAGUGGGGAAUUUUGGACAAUGGGGGCAACCCUGAUCCAGCAAUGCCGCGUGAGGGAAGAAGGCCUUCGGGUUGUAAACCGCUUUUGUUAGGGAAGAAAUACUCUGGGCUAAUACCCCGGGGGGAUGACGGUACCGGAAGAAUAAGCACCGGCUAACUACGUG